rnacentral:lncRNA from 1 species
GGGGAGUUGGGGAAGGCUUUUGGGAGAAGGCGACAUUUCAGCAGAGACCUGAAAGGAGAAACUGGAGACAGUUUAAUAGACACAACCGCUUCAGAUGGGCAGUGAAAAAGACGAUGGAAAGGCCAGGACACCACGGAAGUUCUGAAGGGGUAGUGGGAACCGACAGGGUGAAUGGAAAGCAGCCCUUUGACAGAAGAAAGACAGAGACCAGUUUCCAGUGAGCUCCUGAGGAUAUUCAAGUCUGUGCUUCUGCUUGACUGAGGAUCAUCUAGGAAAUGAAACUAAACUUGGCUUCGACCUAGACCUUGUGUGACCUUGAGGUCAUCACCCUCUCACAGUCACCCUAGAGAAUCCUUUACUUACCUGUGCUGAAAAAAAUGCUCCCAUCAGUUACCCUAUGAUGAGGUCUCCAGCCCUUUCAUCAGAAGACAGAGCUUUAAAAUGCAGGUGCUCUCCAUCUCAUUCUUGGGAAUUUCUCGGAUAUCACACGAAAAGCACAGGCAACAAAAGCAAAAAUAACAAGUGGGACUAUGUCAAACUAAAAAGCUUCUGCACGGCAAAGAAAACAAUCAACAAAACGAAAAGGAAACCCACAGAAUGGGAGAAAAUAUUUGCAAACCAUAUAUCCAAUAAGGGUAACUAUCCAAAAUAUAUAAGGAACUUACAUAACUCAAUAGAAAAAAAAACACCACACAACUGGAUUAAAACCUGUGCAAAAGGUGGCUUGCACCUAUAAUUCCAGCUACUUGGGAGGCUGA